GCCUGGCGUCCCGGCACCCGCUGCGGUGGCCCGGCUCCGCCGGAAGGGGGCGCCGCCGGGCCACAGCCCUGUUCUCCAGGCGCCCGCGCUCCCGCUCGCGGCAAAGGUGGGCGCGGAGAGGACCUGGGCGAACCAAGCCCGGUACUGAACGGGCUGCUGGGUGUCUUGCCUCCCCGAGCCACACAGGGCUUCGCGGGCUCAAAAGGGCGAGAUUUGGGUCCCGUGCUAAUAGUGGUCUGACCCGAGACUCAUCCAGGGAAAUGGAGUCACAGAGUUCGAGGACCGGGCAGCCUUGUCCGCAUCCCGCCCCCUCCCGGGUGCAACUCCUCAGAUAGGCCCAGGAAGUCGCCCAGGAACACACAGCUGGUCAGUUCCUGGGACAUAAACGUGCUGACAACUUUAUGUAUUUGUUACUCUGAAGUAACCAUGACAAUGUCUACAUCAGCUGCUGUAAUUUGAGGCAGGAACCAUACAGACUGUUCUUCCAAGCAAUUCUCUAACGGUUUGCAUAACUGUCCUUCUGAGAGAGAGAGGGAGGAAAGCCACGUGCUCUAAGAACGAGGCAGGAAUUCUGAGUGGAAAAGGCCGGAGUGGGUCACAGGAUGCCAGGGACCCACAGAAUAUCUCCUUCCGGGAAGCCAAAGGCUGGGUUGAUAUUUGCUGUCUUCCCAUUAGUUGGAGAUGAGACUUUGGUAAAAGACAGUCAUAAUUAUUCCAAGCAAAUGACAACUCGUAAGGGUGUAAUGCCCUCACUUGCAUUCUGCUGAUGGGUUCGAGUUGCAGGAGGCUGCCUGGCUCUGUCUUGCGAUCUCAAAACACUUUAGAGACGGCACUGUUUUGCACCUCACCAACAUCUUGGGAUGCCAAGCGAACACAAGAUCACACCCUCCUAUGAUAAAGGAAACUGAGGUAGCAGAGAUAAAGGAUGCUUCCUACUGCCUCUUCCUCCUGCCCUUCUGAUCGGGCUGCCUCCAGGAGGACCUCAUCUCCACCCCUCUUCCGCACAGAUGCAAGUGAUACCCAGGAGGCUGGGAACAGAAUAAAGUCCUCAUCAAGUACCACCUCAUUUACAUGGUCUAUGACUAUUACCUUAAAAACAAUGUUAAGUCAACCUCAGACACUCCUUAUAACACUCACAGAAACAUCUUCCCUGGUUGGGGAGAGAGAAAUCUGUACUGAAAUAAAAGCCAAUUGAC